rnacentral:lncRNA from 1 species
CUGCCUCCUAAAUUCAAGUCAAGUCAUUUUAGAUGCUACAUUAAAACAGCACAGUGGUACGAUGUUUUACUGUCAUGAUUCCUUCUUAUAAAAUUACCUCUGUGUUACAAAUUAUCUCUGUGCUAAGGAACUCUACUUCUACAGUUUAUUUAAUUCAGCAUUCUUCAAAAGCCAUGAAAUGAAUUUUGACCCAAAGCAACAAAAUACCCUGGAGAUAUGCUUAUGAAAUUUGUCCACAUUCCAAGAAAUGAGAAGUGAUGUCUACAGAAGAGUGGACAUACCUUGCUUCUCCUUCACCUUCUGCCAUGAUUGUAAGUUUCCUGAGGUCUCCUGAGGUAUGGAACUGACCAUUGUGAAGAAGAAAGGAGCUGAUGUAUGUGAAAUACUUAGCAUAGGCCCUGUUGUGCAGCAGGCACUCAAUAAACCUCUUUCCUGUCCAUGACCUGCAAGUACCCCAAGGACUGGAGGGCUGGAUGUGGUUUUGAAGAACAUCAGGCACUGUUUAAAAAACCAACAAGAAUUUGUUUCUAGCAUAACUACAAGGGGCAUCCAUGCAGACUGUGGAAGGGCUGUUGAUGGACGCCAGGGAAUGGAAUGCCUGUGUAGCACAUGUUACAUCGCCCUGCUACUUAUCCAGGAUGUGUCAGGAAAAUGUUUGCACAAAGUUGCAUAGUGUGAAAGCUGAAGCUGCUGAUUGGCAAAGAAGCUGAGUCACCGAAGGAGGAUAAUCCCAGGCAGUACAGAAUGAGCUCAGCUGAGGUUGUGCAAUGGGUUGUGAAUGACGAUGAAGUUGUGGAUCACCUCUGGUUCUGAGACACUCUGUUCUUGGUGUUCAGUUGGACAAAACCCAAACUCUUUUCCUCCAGGUAGCUCACAUCACAAAGGGACAGUGUGGGCCUGGAGAAGCUAACUCUGAGAGGCUCCCUUCCAUGAGGAAGACAACUCAUGGUGGUAGUGGGUCCCUCAAAGAGAUCACAAGAGACUUCCCCAGUAACUUUCUUCCUAAGCAUAUUUGAAAAUACUUGCAUUUGGAAGAGCAAAUGCAAGUACACAGAUUUUUGUUGUUCCGUGUGUAGUAAGUACAUUUCACCCUGUACCUGUAACCAGAGCACUUUCAGAUUCUAGGCCCUGAAGCUCAUUUUGCCCACACUGAUGGGUGCCUCUGUGUGUGUGGGUGUGCAUGUGUGUGUGUGUGCCCCUGUGUGUGUUUUCUGCUCAGUUUUCCUUCUAGUAAAGAAUUUCAAGACCCUUCCACAUUCUGACCUCUCUGCAAACCUUUCUCUGUUUUAGCCAAUUUCUCAUUCUGACUUUUUAAGAAUCUCUGUGUGACUAUUUAAGAGAAUAUGAAUUAGGCAAGCGAAGUUUUCUUCUUGCUUUUAAGAUUCUCUUAUUUUAAUACCUAAUCAAUCAAUAAGUGUUUGUCUGGCACUGACUUGCUUGUGAUAAACUUUAUAGGCAACACGAAGAAAUAUAGAUGUGGUUCCUGUGCUUAAGAAACCUACAUGCUACUUACAAUAAAUGUUUAGAACCAAUAUAACGAAAUACAUGACAAGGUGUCUAGGACUUCUUAGAAAUGAUGCCUCAGAAAAGAUUGGGCACUUUCAGGGUGGUAUGCUGCAGACAAAAAAGAUACUUGCACACGUAUGUUUAUAGUAGAACAAUUUGCAAUUGCAAAAAUACAGAACCAGCCCAAAUGCCCAUCAAUCAACAAGUGGAUUAAAAAACUGUGAGAGAGAGAUAUAUAUAUAUGCAUAUAUAUAUACACAUAUACAUAUAUAUUCAAAUACAUAUAUAUACGUGUAUAUACACACACAUAUACAUAUAUAUACACACACAUAUACAUAUAUAUAUAUACACACACACACACACACAUAUAUAUAUAUAUAUAUAUAUAUAUAUAUAUAUAUAUAUAUAUGCCAUGGAAUACUACUCAACCAUAAAAAGGAAUGAAAUAACGGCAUUUGCAGCAACCUGGAUGGGGUUGGACACUAUUAUGCUAAGUGAAGUAACUCAGGAAUGGAAAACCAAACAUCAUAUGUUCUCACUCAUAAGUGGGAACUAAGCUAUGAGGAUGUAAAGACAUAAGAAGGAUACAAUGAACUUUGAGAACUCGGGGGUUGUGCAAGGAAGGAUGGAAGGGGAGUGGGGGAAAAAAUACUACAAACUGGGUACAAUGUACACUGCUCAGGUGAUGGAUGCACCAAAAUAUCAGAAAUUACCACAAAAGAACUUAUUUGUGUAACCAAACACCACCUGCUCACCAAAAACCUAUGGGAAAAAAAAAGAAAUGAUGCCUCAAAGAGGGUUUCAAAAAAGGUGGAGUUUACCAUGGUCUUUUGGAGCAAUCAAAAACAUUUCAAAAAAGAAGUAAGACUUGAGUUCAAACAGAAAAGUUGGCUGUGAGUUUGACCAAUCAUGUAGAGGAAUACAACUUGAAGAACCAAUUAAUUUUGGAAAUUGGGGAACUUAAGAUGUUAUCCAAGUCAAUCAUGUGUAAGGCAAUGAGUACCUGAUCCAGCAUGGUAGCAAAAGGCAGAGUGGAUGAACAGAUCCUGGGUCUGUUCCCCUCAGACUUACACCUUGCCCUUCCUCCAUCCUGCUCUCUCACUUUGUUUCACAGGCCCUUGUGUCAUUGGCUUCGGUAACCCCAACUCCUUCCUCUGUCCCCAGCCCAACCUUGAGUAUGGUUGGUAGAAGCUUCUUAUUGUUGCUAAUCUCUAAGUGGUCUCACUGAUCCCUAUGUAACUUCAUAGCUUAAUCACUGGUGAUAUCAAUUCACUCUGUUAAAUUUUAAACAUUUACAUUAUUUUCUUUUCUGGUUGGAUCCAAUCUUACGUAGAUCAUCCAAGAUUAUUCUCAAUAGAUGGAUAGAAAACUUCAUGAGGAAGAGUUAAUAGAACUUGCUAUUUGAUUUUACAUAGCAGUUGGAGACAAUAACUAAUAAUAUAUGACUCCUUAUCUUUGUAAUCAGUUUUUCUGUGCCAGAAAACUAAUUCAGAAGAUAGAGCAGUAAGUGAGAAAUGAAUACUUUUGUACACUUUUCACCAAGAAGGUGGUGUGGUAUUGGGCAAGUCACUAUCAUAGGCCAUCCAACCAAAUCUUCAAGCAGAUUGAUUUUCUGGAAUAUCAUAGUUGAUGAGACUAUAAAUGAUUUAAGUAAUGUAAGAAAAAUAUCGGGGUUUCAAAGAUUAAGACUAACAAAACCAAAAGAAUGAGAAUGAAGAGAUAGGGAAUAAGAAACAAAGGAGAAAAAGAAGAAACUUGGAAGUGCUGAAAAUGGUUAUAUCUAGACCAGAGUUUGCCCAACCAUGGCCAGCAGGCCAAAUGUGACGGAUA